ACAACUCUAGAGAUAGAGUCUUCCCCUUCGGGGGACAAAGUGACAGGUGGUGCAUGGUUGUCGUCAGCUCGUGUCGUGAGAUGUUGGGUUAAGUCCCGCAACGAGCGCAACCCUUAAGCUUAGUUGCCAGCAUUAAGUUGGGCACUCUAAGUUGACUGCCGGUGACAAACCGGAGGAAGGUGGGGAUGACGUCAAAUCAUCAUGCCCCUUAUGAUUUGGGCUACACACGUGCUACAAUGGACAAUACAAAGGGCAGCUAAACCGUGAGGUCAUGCAAAUCCCAUAAAGUUGUUCUCAGUUCGGAUUGUAGUCUGCAACUCGACUACAUGAAGCUGGAAUCGCUAGUAAUCGUAGAUCAGCAUGCUACGGUGAAUACGUUCCCGGGUCUUGUACACACCGCCCGUCACACCACGAGAGUCUGUAACACCCGAAGCCGGUGGAGUAACCAUUUAUGGAGCUAGCCGUCGAAGGUGGGACAAAUGAUUGGGGUGAAGUCGUAACAAGGUAGCCGUAUCGGAA
rnacentral:rRNA from 1 species